CUGCUACCAACAAUAAUAACAGAUGCAUAGAAAUAGAUCUGGAUUAGCUGAGCUUGAAACAGUCCAUCUCACACACACCAAAAGAAUCAGAUACAGUGAACCCACAUGUUGAAGCUUUCUAGUAUAAUAAAAAUUUCAACUGUUCUGUUGAAUCAUCUGUCCUGAUUGGAGCUACAGAAAAGUUCAUCUUAGGAGUGCUUGCUCUGAGUGAGGCUCGUCUUCAAAUCUGAAUGACCACAAGGAGAUUUGAUUAUACAUGUGAACACCUCAGAAGGCACAGCCCGCCCAGAAGGCAGACAGGAUGAGACAGGCACUAGAGCUCACCGGCUCGCCCUCUCACUCCUACUCACAUGAGAAGGCAGCCAGCUAACCCUUCAGCCAGGAAGAGGGUCCUCAUCAGAACCUGGCCGUGGUGGCAUCCAGAUCUUGAAACUCCAGACUCCAGAACUGUGAGAAAAUAAGUGUGUUGUUUAAACUG
rnacentral:lncRNA from 1 species